rnacentral:rRNA from 1 species
UGGGGAAUCUUCCGCAAUGGACGAAAGUCUGACGGAGCAACGCCGCGUGAGUGAUGACGGCCUUCGGGUUGUAAAGCUCUGUUAAUCGGGACGAAUGGCUACCAUGCGAAUAGUGUGGAAGUUUGACGGUACCGGAAUAGAAAGCCACGGCUAACUACGUGCCAGCAGCCGCGGUAAUACGUAGGUGGCAAGCGUUGUCCGGAAUUAUUGGGCGUAAAGCGCGCGCAGGCGGAUCUGCCAGUCUGUCUUAAAAGUUCGGGGCUCAACCCCGUGAUGGGAUGGAAACUACAGAUCUAGAGUAUCGGAGGGGAAAGUGGAAUUCCUAGUGUAGCGGUGAAAUGCGUAGAUAUUAGGAGGAACACCAGUGGCGAAGGCGACUUUCUGGACGAUCACUGACGCUGAGGCGCGAAAGCCAGGGGAGCGAACG